AUGCUCUCUUCAGCAGCACAUACACUAAAAUGGGAAAGACAAAAAAGAUUAGCAUGGCUCCUUCACAAGAAUGACAUGAAAAAUUGUGGAGUGUUCUGUAUUCAU
rnacentral:snRNA from 1 species